GAACUGUGCAGCCUGGGAAUACCCCUGUCAGAAGGGAGAAAGACGCAGGCCUCCACCCAGCAAGGAUUCUUCUGGGAAGCCUGUAGUUUCGGCCCAGUGAUUCAGAGCAGCAGGAGAUAUGGGUCUAUCUAGCAGGUCAUUUUAAGACACUGCUGUUGGAGCUCUGUCUGCAGCCAAGGAUGGUUGAG